GGGCCCUGAACACAGAUGGAGCAGAGAAAGACUUAAACACACAAACCUGUACACAGUACACACAGACAAAAUUAACAACCCUACAUACUGUAAGUUUGAUGCUCACCUUUCCAGAUCGGCAGUGAUCAGCUGCAAACUUGGUGGCCUCUCUAACACACAGGACAUCCAUCCCAUCCACCUGGAUACAGAUACAUUGCGUUUCAAGAAGCAUGUCAAACCUGGUUGGCUGCUCCAUCACCAUAGAGACUGACACACAGCUGGUCAUUGCCCAGGUACUUACAGGCCAGGGCUACACCGGCUCCCAGCGGUACCUGAGGGGAGAUUAGGCAGGUGCUAUAUUUGAGAAGGAGAACCCACCAUCUUUGAAUGGGAUAUACAGCUUAGACAAAUGAGGUUUAAAAAGGAAAUCAAAAAGGGAUUCUUUCAAAUCUAAGAUGAAUGAAUAACGCUAGGCCUUUGUGAAUUACCUGAGCCCCCACAAUGCCAUUGCCUCCAUAGAAGUUUUUAGUGUACAUGUGCAUAGAGCCUCCUUUUCCCUUAGCAAUGCCUCCUCUACGACC